CAUCCACAGAACUUUCCAGAGAUGGAUUGGUGCCUUCGGGAACUGUGAGACAGGUGCUGCAUGGCUGUCGUCAGCUCGUGUUGUGAAAUGUUGGGUUAAGUCCCGCAACGAGCGCAACCCUUAUCCUUUGUUGCCAGCGAUUAGGUCGGGAACUCAAAGGAGACUGCCAGUGAUAAACUGGAGGAAGGUGGGGAUGACGUCAAGUCAUCAUGGCCCUUACGACCAGGGCUACACACGUGCUACAAUGGCGCAUACAAAGAGAAGCGACCUCGCGAGAGCAAGCGGACCUCAUAAAGUGCGUCGUAGUCCGGAUUGGAGUCUGCAACUCGACUCCAUGAAGUCGGAAUCGCUAGUAAUCGUGGAUCAGAAUGCCACGGUGAAUACGUUCCCGGGCCUUGUACACACCGCCCGUCACACCAUGGGAGUGGGUUGCAAAAGAAGUAGGUAGCUUAACCUUCGGGAGGGCGCUUACCACUUUGUGAUUCAUGACUGGGGUGAAGUCGUAACAAGGUAACCGUAGGGGAACCUGCGGUUGGA
rnacentral:rRNA from 1 species